rnacentral:rRNA from 1 species
UACGUAGGGUGCAAGCGUUAAUCGGAAUUACUGGGCGUAAAGCGUGCGCAGGCGGUUGUGCAAGACAGAUGUGAAAUCCCCGGGCUUAACCUGGGAACUGCAUUUGUGACUGCACGGCUAGAGUGUGUCAGAGGGGGGUAGAAUUCCACGUGUAGCAGUGAAAUGCGUAGAUAUGUGGAGGAAUACCUAUGGCGAAGGCAGCCCCCUGGGAUAACACUGACGCUCAUGCACGAAAGCGUGGGGAGCAAACAGG